ACCUAGAACCUAAAUAUCCUAAAGACACCAGAUCUCAUCUGAUCUUAGAACCUAAGCAGGGGCAAUCCAGGUGAGUACUUGAUGGAAGACCACCAACAAACAUCAGGUGUUUUAGGAU
rnacentral:rRNA from 1 species